rnacentral:lncRNA from 1 species
CUAACUAGGUGAUCAAUCAAUUACCAGAUUUAUUCAAUAACCAGUAAUAGCUACUGCUCAUAUUAACACAUAUAUUAAAUCAGAUAUAUCAGCAAAGUAACAGAACAUGUAUCAUAUUAAGUAAUAAAUAUGGUAAAGAAGCAUAUAAAAUCUUAAGAUUAAACGGACAUUACCCUAUCAUGCAUAUAGCCUUAAUAAUAAUAAACUCAUAAUGGAACGUCUAACCCGG